CAUAGCUCAGUUGGAUAGAGCAUCGGCCUUCUAAGCCGACGGUCGGGGGUUCGAAUCCCUCUG
rnacentral:tRNA from 2 species